UCGCCCAGUUUGCAAAUCUCAUGUUUCUAAUUGCCAUCAAUACAUUCUUUUAUAAAGUAUGCCGCUUGACAUACUCAGUCUUUGGAAAACUUGUGAAAGGAAUGUGAAGAGAAAAAAGUAAAAGGCAACAAAUCAAUUUGUUUUCAAAGUUGGUAUUGUAGGAAACAUGUUAUGUUUGCUAACAACGAGUACAGCGCCUUUUCCCACUGUGCAAGAGCAACGAGGCAAAGAAGAAAGAUGGAGAGGAUGUGCAUUUCAUUCAGCACUAUCCAAUGUAGAAGGAUGAAGUGGAUCUGCUAAGCAACCAGGUAGUUCAACCCCUCGACUGAAGAGUGGGACAGUAAGAACUGUCCCAUCAUAUGUCUGUCCUGUAAUGUAUUUAAUCAUUCCCUUACUGCUGGACUAAAACCUGGGUCGUAUCCAAGUUUUCAUAAUAGUGAGCAACACUGGGAUGACCAUCCAAGCAGCUGAAUGAUUGUACCUGUCACUGAUUUCUCCCUCUCCCCAAUCCGCAAAGGCUGAGUUUUAAAGGUAGAACUCCUGGAUUUAUAUGGUUUUAUUUGUGAUUUCUAACCAAAUAUACUCAAGGCUUUCCCCUUCAAAUCCAUGGACUCUCUCAAGCAAGCAAAGAGAGGAUGGCACCCUCACAUGUGCACUGUCCAGAUUUCUGUGGUCUCCCAUAAUUGACCAUACUGCUCUUUCCUGCAUUUGUGCUAUCAGGUUACCACUCAGGAAAUCUUCCAUUCCCUCUUACGAUCCCCACAUAGGGGCUGGCCAAUGCCUCAACACAGGAAAAACAACAACAACAACAACAACCUUCCCCAACCCACUUUUAUAAAUCUAUGAAGCUAUCAGAAAGUACCAUCGCCUCCCAAAGGCAAGUUUCUGCCUUGGUUGGAUUAUUGUAAUGUAAUAGAAUUAAAUGUUUAAAGGCUGUAUUUUCAAUACAUAAUUUUCUUUUCCAAAGAUGAGCAGUCCGGCUAUUAGAGAACAGAGUCAAAAAACGGCUGCCUAUCAUCUCGGCGUUGCCGAAGCUAUGAGGAGCCACAAGACUAAGAAACCUGAAUUUAAUUUUAGAGUAAAUGAAUUACUUCUCCUUCAUUCCGGAAAGCUGUCCUAGAGGACAAACGGCCACUCACUGCUGAGACUAAAGCUGUUAAAAAAGAAGAGUAUUCUCAAAGCCUCCAGGAACAACUGGAUAAUGAGGGAAAAAGGAGAGAAAACAAACACAAAAGACACAGCUGGUAGACCUCCUGGAACAAGUGCGUUUCGCAGAACAACUCGCUGCACAGAAAGGCAAACAUAUCACAGCAAAGAUGGAAAAGACUCAGAGUUAUAUGAGAGUUUUGGAUGCACAGAUUAAGAAGCAAUCCCCGCAAAAGCCUGUGCCUGAGCCCGAUUCUCGUGAGUGUGUCUUUGGUAAGGAUGAGAGAGCGAUGACAGUGGAAAUGCGUAGGCGAGAACGGGAUUGUGUGAAACACCAGAUACAUACGAGCUGCCGCAAACAACAAAAGAAGAAUCAUUCUGGACCAUGUGGCGGAUCAGAGGCAGGGUUUGCAGAUAUUUCUGAAGACACAAAAAGAGCCCCUGGCUGACAGAAAUGCUGAACACGAGAAGACAAAGAUGAUUAGCCAGGACCUCCAGGCCUAUUGGAAAAAGAGCAUGGCAGAGAAGAGACAGAGGGAGCAGGAAGAGAAAGCUUUGCAGCGGACAUCAAACACAGUGUUCCUUAGACCAGUGUGACCAAUACCAGCGCGACAACCAGUGCCAGAGGAGCACCUCCAGUAAGGGACAGAGCAGCGGGUCAGCUGUCAACAAGCAGCUGCAUGGCUCCAGCUUUCCUUAAAACCCAACCUUUGCAUUGUGUUUCCCCAGGGAAACUCUCUGUUUUAAUUAAAUGUUGGAAGCACUAUGGCGAAGCUACUGAUUUCACUUGCGAGGGACAAAGUUAUUUUGGUCCUUUCAGGAGUAGAUUGCUUUUUAACCCCUAUUGAAUUCACCCCUUAGCGGGUUACUUCCAUUUGCUACAUGGGGAGACAAGUGCGAGGCGCUCUACAGGUUUCGACCUCCUAGUGACAACCAAAAGCUAGAUCUUCAACAGUUCCAAGAAUAACACGAGCUCGCUUUUCUCCUUAUUCAAGAUCAAGGACCCUUGGCAUAUGCCGCUAAAGCAAGAGGUGACUUCUCGUAUCUUCCCCCGUCCCCUGGAACAGCAGUGAUCUAGUCCACACCAGGGACUUUCUUUCCUGUCAUUGCAACCGGUCUGGGGUCCAAGGAUUGGGCCAGUUAAGGCUGAAACGUGUUUGGCAGGAGGAAGGGGUGAGGGGGCAUCCCUUUUGAGUUCCGCUUCUCUUUUUCGAGGAGGCACUGGGGAAAUGGGACUUACCAAAAACUGCUCCUGAAAGCUAA